rnacentral:lncRNA from 1 species
UAUAUCUAUCUUGAAUUGAUUAAAGUAUAUACAUGAUAAACUUAACUAGGAUACAGGUCACUUGUUAACUUGUCAGCUUAUGAUCAUUAACCAUAUUAACUGGAUGAUGAAUCUUUUUAAUAAUAGACAUUUUUCAUUAUGCCUGACCUCAUUAAAUCUUGCAGAGUGACAGAUUUUGUUUAAAAUUUUUAAUAGCACUUUUUCAUAGUUCAAAAAAGGGUAUUACAGAUGUUGAGCAGAACAAUUAAAAACAAAACCUUAUUCUAUACAGUUAACCAGUGUGUAGACUUUAUUACAUAGGCACAUAUUUUUUAAGUAAACUUUUUACAUAGAAUUAAUCACAAUUAUACAAGACGUUACACUGAAUGAGGAUGGAUGAUGAAGGAAAGAAAAUUCAGGUCUUGGAUUGGCUGAAUCAUUCAUUGGAUCUUGGGUCCGUCCAUCCUGACACAUUGAAACUCACUCGGAGCAUUGCAAAAAUGGGGAGUGAGGAGGAGGUGUUCUUUAAACACCUGGCUUAAAACACUAAUUCUGUUUAAUUUCUUGAAUAUGGUAAAGUUUCUCCAGGUUCUUUUGGCAGGUGGCACAAAGGUUAAAUUAAUGCUGACUUAGGGGAGUUCAUAUUCUUCCCUCUGUCACCCCCUUACUUCAAACCCCUUAAGAUGCUUUGGUCUAGCAGGUUGCUGGUCAGGAUGCCUGUCUUCCCAGAAUUUCUCCCAUUGGCAACCACAGGGGGUUGGGGGCGGGGGCUGAUCCCGAAGCACAGGGAGGCAAGAGGGGUACUUAGGGCUUUGGUCACAGUGUGGCCAGGUGCUGUCCACAGCUAGCACUGAGGGUUUGAUCUGAGGCAGAAGAUGGGACUGAACAGAGAGGAUGCUGGAGUUCCUUACUCUGUCCAGCUACAAUUGAGUCGUUACAUUUGACCAACUCUUUAAGUAGAGGGAACUAAAAUCAUACUAACAAGUAUCAUACAAGAAAUGCUAUUUUGUAGCUUGUCUAUGUUUUUAAAAAUUUUUUAACCACAUUUACCAAGAAACUGUGAGGAUAGGGAGGACUGACCCUUUCACUCAUCUUGUUUUGCUGUAACUGUGUUACAAAUAGCCCCCAAAUGGUUACUGCGUCGAUUUCUGUAGUCUUCUGUAUAAAGGGCUGUGAUCAUUCCUGACAUCACUAUCUUGGAGGGUUAGACCUGCUUCUGCUUCAAAUAGAACCCAAAUCCUAUCUGUUUCUUUUCACACUCAUACCAUAGCUAUGCUGGGUGAUGCCAGGGAACCUCCAGAGCAGUGUUCCAACUGAUCUUCACCAUCCUUUUGAUCUUCCUUGUUUAUGUUUUGAAGGCAACUACAGAAUAGAGGACUGCAGGGUUUUCUGUGUUUCUGUUGUCUGGGCAGAUGGAAGAGGAUGGCGACAUAAAAAGGGAAAUGAUAGGCCAGCUGACUUUUCCUGUAUUCAGAUUGUAAACUUUUUGGUCCUUAUAGCUACUAUAUGAAGCGUCCUGUUGACAUGAAGUAUCACCGACAGUGGCACCAAAGGGUAUUUUGUGAAAGAAUCCAUAAAACUGGAACUGGAAAGGAGCUUCCUCACUUUUUUCACUGAGGUCACUGAAGUCCAGCUGGGAAAAUAGCAAGUAACUUAAUAUGGUGAUUGUCUCCAUGACUGUGUCCUUUAGAGAUUCACAGGCACCCCAGUUCUCCCUUGAUAAAGGAUACCCCCCAGUGUCUUUACAUCAGCAGUCCACAGUGUCCUUGGGUUUGGCCUUAGCUCACUUUAGGAAAGCUGGCUGCCAGGACAGCACCUUGACCAAAUAUUUGUUGGACUGAAUUAAUUCUGUUAUUUAUCCCUGCUAGGCACUCUUAUUAUUCUUGGAGGUCCUUAGCAUUUAAGGGAUGAUCUCUAGUUCAAGUAUUCUGAGGUUUGGUGGCCAGUGCUGUAUGUCAUUUCUCUACAGGUGUUUUGUUUUGGUUUUUGUUUUUUGUGGGCAAGACAAAGCUGAGUUUAUGUAUUCUUUACUGUGGAAAGGAAUACACCCCUCAUCUGGGUCCUGAGAGCAUCUCGAAGGUGGGUGACAGGAUAUUUAUUUAUGUAAUUGUUUGGCCCCACCCAUGGCAUGUGGAAGUUCCCAAGCCAGGGAUUGUGUCCAAGCCACAGAUGCAACCUACACUGUACUGCUGGAUCCUUUAACUGCCACAUCUGGCUGGGGAUCAAACCAGCAUGUCGAGGAGAGCAACCCCAGCCACUGUAGUCGGAUUCUUAACCCACUUCACCACAGUGGGAGCUCCAAGUUUAAGAUAUUUAUUGAGACUUUAUGUCUAGGGCAAGACAGUUCUUUUCAUGUAGGAGUUUGGUCGAGAUUUGUUAAGUAAGGAUCAGGACAAGCUAGUUUGGGGUGGGUGGGCACAGCAGGAGGUGGAGUUCCCUACACUUUAUUUUUUCAUAUUGCCGUUCUUUUUUUUUUUUUUAUUCUGUUGCUUUAUAGCUUUUCAUUACAUGCAGUUAUUAUUUGCUCCUUCCAGGCAUUACCAGAUGGAUAGUGUCUGCCUUUACAGGCCUGGAACUGUAAAUUCAGAGAUACUUUUCUUUUUUUCAAUGGUUCAAUGGUUAAAACAAAAGGACUAGACUCAGUCAGAUUUGCUAAGGCACAGAGUAGAAGAAAUGUAAAAGUUCCAUAUUCCUGCUUUAGCGAAUACAUGGGAAAAUAGUACCGAUACACGUCUGUCUCCUACAUUUAUAACUGCCUUGUACAUUUCUUUUAAGUCCUUAAAUACGAGUCAUAAUAUCCAAAACAAGUUUCAUUUACAAAGAACGUAGUUAAGAAAUGGUGAAGAAAUAGUGACUUUUAAGGAAUUGGCACUUAGACAUUGGUAAUGUUUAGAAAAUGUGUUGGUUUAGAACGUGGUGAGAAUGCUAUGACUAAUUUUAUAUAAGAGUUGUCAUGGUUUGGAUGACACGUGGUAGUGAAAUUUUGGAGAUAAUUCCUUUCCUUGGUGAUAUUUCUUAUAGGUUUUGUCUUUUGGUCAGUUUUGUUUGAAUUUUCUGUCACGUUGCCUUUUUUUUUUUGGCUUUUAAGGGCCACACCUGCAGCAUGUGAAGUUCCCAGGCAGCUGCAGGCCUGCACCACAGCUCACGGCAGCACCGAAUCUUUAAGCCACUGAGCAAGGCCAGGGAUCAAACCCACAUCCUCACGGAUACUGGCUGGAUUCGUUAACCACUAAGCCACAAUGGAAACUCCUUUAAGUUGCAUUCUUAUCAUGACCUAAACUCUAGAUAUGCUAGAAUUAACUUAUCAUCAUCUUCCAUUCGUAGAAGAGUUAAAGUUACCAUUCCCAAGUGGGAAAACUUCUAAAAAGUAGACUAGAUGGCAGUGCUUCCUACUCAAUUAGCUUAAUAUUUUCAGGGCUUUUAAAAAAAAAUGUCAAAUCAUUGUUUUCUCACUACUAAACUUAUUAUGAGAUUUAAAGCAGCUUCUGAAAUCAGAAUGCCAUUUCACAAGUUUCAGCCUUACUACCUCAGACUUCCAUCUUCCUGUGGUGACAAAACAAAUAUGUAGUAAUAGUGGUCAGUGGCUAGUGUUGGGGAAAACAAAGACCUAGCACACCAAGACUGACCAUGCACUCUGUUAAAUGCUUUCUUCUCCUGCUGACCAUUCGAAUGGGCUCACAGAUCUGACUUGCAUAUCUGUGCUGUUAUGUGGGGGCACAAAAAUGUGUUUCAUUAUGAGGUACACUGCAGUUUAAAUUCAGCUGUGCAUUAAGUACUGACAGUUAUCAUUAGUUGACCGCGGAGGCAAGGCAAGAAAAAUUUAAGUGCUCCAGGAAAUAAAAGCAUGCUUGCAUGCUUUAAUAUAAGUAUUUAAUGAUAAGGGUUAGGUAGGCUUAAAAUCUCAAGGUCAGUAUUCCUUCAGCAAACAUUUAUUGAAUACUUAAUAUUUUUCCUUUAUUUCACCAAUAUAUAUUUGUCCUAUUAGCAAGGCUGUAAAGUGGCUGAAAGUUGUUAUAUUCCAAGCUUGAUGCUAGGUGCUGGAAGCAAGGAAUAAAUUACAUUUCUUGCCUCCAUGGAUCACAUUUCUUGAGAAUGUGAAUUUCCAGGGAAAUAAGCCCCUACCCUCAUCAACUGAAUUUGAAUAAAAAUUACUCUCGUUUGGGAGUUCCCAUCAUGGCAAAGUGGAAAUGGGUCCGACUAGGAACUAUGGGGUUUCAGGUUCGAUCCCUGGCCUCUCUCAGUGGGUUAAGGAUCUGACGAUGCCAUGAGCUGUGGUGUAGGUCGAAGACACAGCUUGGAUCUGAUGUGGCUGUGGCUGUGGCCAGCAGCUGUAGCUCUGAUUGGACCCCUAGCCUGGGAACCUCCAUAUGCUAUGAGUGUGGCCC